rnacentral:rRNA from 1 species
UACGUAGGGGCCUAGCGUUAUUCGGAUUCACUGGGCGUAAAGCGUGCGCAGGCGGUUUUGUAAGCCAGAUGUGAAAUCCCCGGGCUUAACCUGGGAAUGGCAUUUGGGACUGCAAGGCUCGAGUGCGGCAGAGGAGACUGGAAUUCCUGGUGUAGCAGUGAAAUGCGUAGAUAUCAGGAGGAACACCGAUAGCGAAGGCAGCUCGCUGGGACGGUACUGACGCUGAGGUGCGAAAGCGUGGGGAGCGAACAGG